GUCUUGAGGAACAUGUGGUGUAUUGGUGUGGCGGCUAGGGUAUCUAGGGACGGAGGACUCACCAGCACAGAAGAGGAACACCGUCAGAGAGAUAGGAACGAUGUGGGCAGGGGAUCGGGGAGAUCGAUCGAGGGAGCAAGGCCUUAAGAAGCUUGUUGGGCUAUUUCUUAUUGGGCAUGGUGGGUCAAGAAGACGCAGUGAAUUGGCUUUUGUUUAUUUUUUUGUUUUAUUCGGUCAGUUCGGGUAACUGACCUUGAAAACUGAACUGC
rnacentral:lncRNA from 1 species